UCAAAAAAGAUAAAAUAUUUUACAUUUGUUUUUUGACUAAUGUGCUAUAAAAAGGAUUAUAUUUGUGAGAAAAGAUACUGAUCGCCAAUAUUUCAAAUACCGUCUUGCAAUGUAUAGUUUUUAGUGACAUUGUAGUAUAAAGCUGUAAUUUGAAAUUUUACUUUGGAAUGUAAAGUAGAAAAUAUUAGCUAUGUCAAUGAUAUCUUGCAAAGUGUUCCCAUUUAUAAUUAUUUAUAUUGUAAAUAGCUUUCUGAAGUAAAUUCGAAGUUAAUGUGCAUAAAAUGUAUUUAUUAUGUGAGGAAUUUUUUGGUUUAAAAUAUAGUUACCAAUAUGCA
rnacentral:lncRNA from 1 species